GACGAACGCUGGCGGCGUGCUUAACACAUGCAAGUCGAACGAUGAAGCCGGAGCUUGCUCUGGUGAAUUAGUGGCGAACGGGUGAGUAACACGUGAGUAACCUGCCCUUGACUCUGGGAUAACUGCGGGAAACUGUAGCUAAUACCGGAUACGACCCUCGGAGGCAUCUCCUGGGGGUGGAAAGAAUUUCGGUCAAGGAUGGACUCGCGGCCUAUCAGCUAGUUGGUGAGGUAAAGGCUAACCAAGGCGACGACGGGUAGCUGGCCUGAGAGGGUGACCGGCCACACUGGGACUGAGACACGGCCAAGACUCCUACGGGAGGCAGCAGUGGGGAAUAUUGCACAAUGGGCGCAAGCCUGAUGCAGCAACGCCGCGUGAGGGAUGACGGCCUUCGGGUUGUAAACCUCUUUUAGCAGGGAAGAAGCGAAAGUGACGGUACCUGCAGAAAAAGCACCGGCUAACUACGUGCCAGCCGCCGCCGUAA
rnacentral:rRNA from 1 species